rnacentral:lncRNA from 1 species
UCAUAUUUUAAUUAUUGAAACAAGAUAUUUAAACGAUUUCUAACAUCCACAUUAUUUUUAGGAUGAAUGAAAUUAAAUUCGUAAUCUUAACUACAUAACAUCAUAAAACCGAGUGAUGUUGUCGUGCAUAACAUAUACAUCGUGUGGUUAACCAUGUGAUGACCAAUACUUCAUGUUGUGAGCAAUCAUUUUCUUUAAAAUAAGUAACUAGACUUCCAAGCCACCGCUAAUUAUCUAAAAAAAUACAGAGAAUUCAUUACCUUAAAAUUGCUUAACAGGAAUCCAUUUGGCCAAUCCACACUUUCAUUACCAAUUAUAUUUAUUAUCUCAACAAAAAAAAAACGAAAAAAACAAUAGUAAAGAGGGAGCGAACUGAAAUGAGAAACCCUCCUACUGAUAAGUUUAUAUUUAAUUAAAUUUAAGAUAUAUUAUUAAAUUAAUAUUUGGUUUAAAUACAUAAUAGAGAUACUCUAACAACGAUGAUGACAUUUGAACUCCAGAUUGUUGUUGGGAUCAUCAGCCGGUAUUAUGAGUAAAGGUUACUUUUCCUCUUUUAUAUCUACUUUUAUAUUCAGGAGGUGACUACACGGGUUAUGCCCGCAUUAUGAAGUCAGGGAAAAUACAUACCCAAACAAUAUUAACAUGCCAAAACAUUCCUAAACUAAAUAAGAAUUUGAACUGCAUACCUAAGCUCAUAAUAAGUAGCUAAAACAUGCCUAUAGCCGGUUAUAUGAUGAUUUGGACUAUUUUUUAAAUUUUUUUUUAUUUUAGUCCCUAUAAUUCUAUUUUUUUGUUAAUAUGCCUUAAAUAACUUAAAUAACCAUAUUUAUCAUAUUUAUAAUUUCAAUUUUAUUUUUUUACCAGAUUUAAAUUAAAUUUAAAUAAGAAAUUUAAUUAAUUAUCAGAAAUUUACAUAGUUAUCAUAUACAAUAUAUUAAUUAAUUUAGUUAUCAAAGUAUGUUAUCUACCUUAUUAAAACAUGAGAAUUAAUUAUAAAUAAUCUUACUCAUAUGUAAUAUUUACAAGAAAUACC